ACGAUGUUCCGCUGUGCCGGUUUUUGUGGCCAAGAGCAUCUG
rnacentral:sRNA from 1 species